UGAUGCAAUAAUGAAAGGUGUUAUACGUUGGCAACUUCUCGCUCUAAUCCGCCAUCUUGAACUACCUUAGGAGAAACUGUGUUGUUUCUUUGCUAUUUUCACUGAACAUUUCCCAAAAUAUUAGAAAAAAAUUCUGAACAAGCUACAUUGAUUAAAUUUUCGUUGUUCGUUUUGUUCUUAUUCGCUGACAUUUGUUUUCCAAUUGCGUGAAAUUUGGUAAUUUCCUUAGUGUUUCGCUGACCGACCUGUGCUGGUAUUGUGAUUAAGAGCUAAUACACAUUUUUCGGACGAUUCUGCUGUGCUGCGUUCCU